CAGUCGCCACGGUAAAACGUAGGUGGCAAGCGUUGUCCGGAAUUAUUGGGCGUAAAGGGCUCGCAGGCGGUUUCUUAAGUCUGAUGUGAAAGCCCCCGGCUCAACCGGGGAGGGACAUUGGAAACUGGGAGACUUGAGUGCAGAAGAGGAGAGUGGAAUUCCACGUGUAGCGGUGAAAUGCGUAGAGAUGUGGAGGAACACCAGUGGCGAAGGCGACUCUCUGGUCUGUAACUGACGCUGAGGAGCGAAAGCGUGGGGAGCGAACAGGAUUAGAUACCCCAGUAGUCCCUGUCUCUUAUAC
rnacentral:rRNA from 1 species